GGGCAAUGGCGGGCGCCCCUCCCCCAGCCUCGCUGCCGCCUUGCAGUUUGAUCUCAGACUGCUGUGCUAGCAAUCCGCGAGACUCCGUGGGGUAGGACCCUCCGAGCCAGGUGCGGCAUAUAAUCUCGUGGUGCGCCGUUUUUUAAGCCCGUGGGGAAAGCGCAGUGUUCUGGUGGGAGUGACCCGAUUUUCCAGGUGCCGUCCGUCACCCCUUUCUUUGACUAGGAAAGGGAACUCCCUGACCCUUGCUCUUCCCGAGUGAGGCAAUGCCUCGCCCUGCUUCGGCUCGCGCAGGGUGCGCGCACCCACUGACCUGCGCCCACUGUCUGGCACUCCCUAGUGAGAUGAACCCGGUACCUCAGAUGGAAAUGCAGAAAUCAACCAUCUUCUGUGUCGCUCACGCUGGGAGCUGUAGACCGGAGCUGUUCCUAUUUGGCCAUCUUGGCUCCUUCCUCAUCCUUAUUCAAUUCUUGAACGGUUCCACACAAAAAUAACUGAAGAUGGGCCUCCAGUCUUACGACGCCACAAAGUGCCCUGACACCACUGAACACGAAAACUCAUUGCAGAGUUUUAUUGCAUGAAAGAUGUUUGUGAUGUUUGCAAUUGGAUGACUCAAGUCUUUGUCAUGGAGACCUCCCUUACUCUCAAGGGGCCUCCCAGCGCAAGAGGCAGUGAGUCCAUCACCAUAGGAAGUGUGCACAUGUACAGACUGUUCAAACAUACAGUACAGACUGCUAUGAUGUCAGCAAACACCCAUGUGGGAAAAGCAAUGAGAAUUCAUCCAGCCAAAUAUGCAUUUUGAAUUAGUUUCUUAAAAACAUGUUACAUGAAUUUAACUAGGGAAUAGAGGAUAAUUACUACCAAUACCAGAUGUGGAAGAACAAACAAAAAACUCUUAGGACGUUAACAAAAAAGAUUUUACUUAGCCAUGUAUCUAUUAGAUUUAUUUGAUUUUCAGGUUACAUUAAUUUGGAAAACAGAGAAUGAGAUCAAAUAAGAAUAACUGCAGGAGACGGGUGUUGCAAAACGAUGCAGUGAAUCAGUAGACCUAAGAAAAUGGGAAAUCAGAUGAAGGGCGUGUGUAAAUUGUAGUCUUUGUAUCAGGCCUUGUCAUGGCUGUCAGUGAACAUGGCACUGAAACUUCUAUAUACUACCAGUGGGAACAAUGAAAACUAAUGAGCUUUUAUUUUUUCUGUUUUGUGUCAUUUUUGAUUGGGUACCUAAGGGGAAAAAAGUGCAGAUAGUAAAUAAGUAGAAAAAGAAAAGGGAACACAAGGAUAGGAUGAAUUCAUAAUACUACCAACGAUAAUGCUAGAUGAAAUAUCAUGAUAAUUGAAGUAUGUAUUAUAGCUCAACUCAUACUGUUUUGUACUCAUGGUUCCUAGACUAUUCAGUUUUAAGAGAGAUACAACACACACUUCAGAGAAGGUAGAAUCCAUCAUUUUAUCCUUUAAAUUCAUACAUUAAAAAAGAAACGGGAAAGAGAAAUGGGCUUCAUGACAAUUUCAUGUUUUUAUGCUGAAGGGUCAUGGAGUGGCUAAUAGAUACCAGUGUUUCAUUUCCCUCACUGGGUAGUCAAAAUACUGAGCCCACUCGAAUGCUAGGAUGCCUCGAAUUUCUGAAUACUCCUUUAAGUGGCAAACUAUAAAAGGAGCAAUACUCUGGGACAAAUUGUUUGUUUUUUUUUUCAUACAGUGAUUACAAGGGACCUUUAUUCAUUAUAAAACAAAUGUAAUCUGCAUGUUAUAUCGUGUAAGAGAGGGCAAUUGAAGCUAAUCUAGGACAAAACAGUAGGCACUUUCAGCAAGCAAAUGGGCCGUGCCUGUAAGUGAUUGGAUGGGGACAGACAUAGAAACUCGAUUAGAACCCGAGUGCUCCAGUGCUGCUGGUGGCAACGUUACGGAGACACAGCAUGGCUUCCUGGAAAACAGUAAGAAAAAGGUGACGGAAAGAAAGAAACAAGGAUAGAACAAAAUGAGCCGCAAAUAUCCAAACAAGAUGCCAUGAAAAUGGCUUAAGGAAAGGAGCUAAAGGCCAGGGGCAAACAGUUUCUAUAGGAAGAGUCCAAGGUUAGCCAUAGAUAAGUUCCACAGAGGCAAAGGUAUUGCUUUGACAGACUUUGGUCUUGCUCCCAGACUGACAAGGGGCUGUGUGACAAGGACAUUCUCCAUUCUCUCUACUGUGUGAAAAUCUCUCGUGUCACUUCCUCAUUAUCAGAGAUAGGCUAACAAAUUUAACAAGUAAAAAUGUAUAAAUAUUAUCACGGGUGCCUAAUACCUAGAAUGCAUUUGUUCUAUCAGGCUCUCAAGAAUAGGUAACAGUAUGAGAGGCAUAAUAAAAUUGACAAUGACCCUUCUCUUGUAGAAUUUAGUCUAGUUUAAUGAUUCAUAGUUACGGCAGCUGUCACUCACCUCAUCAAAAUUUUUAUGAUUAAUGGACACUGUUACUCAAAAAUGUAAAUAUAAUCAUACAUAUAUUCCAUCCAUAUUACUCAGAUAUUCGUGGAACUCUUAGAUUUCAUUUAUGAGCAGCAGUUUAAUAAACACCAGUUU
rnacentral:lncRNA from 1 species